AUUUAAAUGCAGAUAUUUUAAUAAAUUGUAAUUAGUAACUAUUACAUGUUUAGCAAAUAAAAAAGAAGCGAAAUUGUUAGUUGAAAAUUUGGUUGAAAAUAACAGUUAUAUAAUUGUAGGUUAUAGUUUUAUAUUCCAAUAUAUAAGGCAUCAAGCCAUCAGAUAUUUUACAACACGAAUACAAAAGAUUAACAAUAUCCUUAACAUGGAUUCAUAAUUUCUGUCCCAGCCAAUACAGAGUUCCUUAUUAGACAAGGUAAAAAAGUAAUUUGGUAAACUAAAAAAUAAAAUAAAAAUAAAAA